rnacentral:rRNA from 1 species
GGAUCCGCACAAGCGGUGGAGCAUGUGGUUUAAUUCGACAAUAAGCGAGGAACCUCACCAAGAUUUGACAUAUAGCUGCAAAUCCACAGAAAUGUGGACUUCUUCGAGAGUGCUAUACAGGUGCUGCAUGGUUGUCGUCAGCUCGUGUCGUGAGACGUAUGGUUAAGUCCCUUAACGAGCGCAACCCUCGUCCUAUGUUACUAAUUUCAUAGGAGACUGCCUUGGAUAACAAGGAGGAAGGUGAGGAUGACGUCAAAUCAGCAUGGCUCUUACAUCUUGGGCUACACACGUGCUACAAUGGCAAGUACAAAGGGGCGCGAAGCGGAAACGUGGAGCAAAUCCCAUCAAAACUUGUCUCAGUUCGGAUAAAGGUCUGCAACUCGACCUUUUGAAGUUGGAAUC